AAAGACAGUGGGCGGAUGUUGCGGCUCGAGCUGCUGUUCCGGGACACAGGACGAGGGCGGUUGUUGCUCGGGCGGCGCUGUACAGAAGGAAGCGAAAUAUUGUUGCUCGCAGGGGAAGUAGCAUCCCCGAAACAUCCUGACGGCAGCCUUGAAAGGGGCCAGGGAGGCGGCAGGAGGCUGCUGCAUGUCCGGCUGCUGCAAGGAUAAUAAACCGAAGCCGAAGGAAGAGGAACAAGCCCCGUCGAAAUGCUGCGCCGAUAGAAAAUAAAACGACUACGAGAACCGUCCGAAGAACCGCUCUCUCACGAUAAAAAUUCAAUAUCUUUGUCCGAUCGAUGUAAUCCCCAUGCUUCAAUAAAAAGGCAUUCCCCACCAACCCUCA